rnacentral:lncRNA from 1 species
ACGCUCAAGGAUUUGAAGCUAGCUAUCAGGAAGUGAUAGUCAGAUUUAUUUGUCUGAAACUGUGGAAGGAUGAAUUCUGACAUCCAUGUCAUCUAAUUCAUUCAUGCUGACAUGUGUUAAUCUAAUUAGUUGACAUCCUUCGAAAUGCUGCCGAUUUGUCUUUGCUAUUUAAUAUAUCCUAUGAUGGGCACUAAGGCACUGUUGAUCCACCAAAAUUUUCUUAGUUUAGAUGGGUGUGAUUAUCUAAAUAAGCUGAGGGUCACAAGAUGUAUGGUAUUAACCUGAAUUCUUAGUAGGCUCGAGAUGUUGAGAAUCCUAGCUGAAGUCAUGUUUUAGUUUAACUUUGCACUAUGUAUUGAAUAGUUGAAUCUGUGUACAUAAGGUUAUUCAAGCCUGCUUGAAUUAGAUUCCAAGCUGGAGCUUAUUCUAAUUUUUAGUUUGAUUUUGCACUGAACUUGACCUGUCUGGUAUUGACUAGCUGAAUGUGUGUACACAAGGUUAGUCAAACCCAUUCGAAUGAGGGUCCCUAUCUUAACUAAUCUAUUUCAGUUAAGCUAAGGAGAAUAUAAUGUUUGAAGAUUGUCCUCUUAAAGAAGUAUGAGCUCAACAUAGAAAGAAUUUUCUCUCUAAGAUGUUACACUGGUAUCUAUAUUCUAAACUAGGAUCCCAUUUCUGUGACUCCAUGAAGCUUCGGUCAUGUGGUUAUAAGUUUAUCUAGGACACUACAUUGUUUGCAUGUCUGAUAUAACGAGAGCACUCACUGCAAAGAGUUCUUGGCAUCAGUAUUUGUUAACGCUAAGUUGUCAGAAAGUAUUAUACCUAUUCAUCCAAGAAAGGCUACUGUGUAGUAUGAGGAUUGUAGUGUUGUUAAAAUAAAUUGUAGAUUUGGGAAGGUUCAACUAAUUUAUUGCUGUGCAGACAGAACAUUACUAGAUGCUGGGAAAAAUAAACUGUAGAAAAUUACGAGCCGACAUACGUGUUAUAUAAUUAAAAAUCUUCAGCUGUAUAAGUGUAAAACUAGUUAGAUAUCCUACCUUAUUGAAUGUUAGCUAUGCUUAAUAAUAUGGCCUUCUAAGUUCUAUCACAAUGUUACCUCUUCAGCUGUAUAAUAGCCGUCAGGCUUGUAUUGUAUUCCCCAAAAGUACCAACUUGUAAACCCUACCUGAUGAACAUCAUAUACUGUUGGUCAAAGGUUGAGACAUCGACUCUUAUCAUGCAUAAUCUCGACAUCUGAUGCAAUCAUACUCUGCAUCUGUAUUGCUGCUGCAGUUUUUGUAGUUAUAUUCUAUGUAGAGUCCUGAAACAUUUUCCUCAUAGGGCGCCACCUUCGGAGAGGUGACAGAAAUGACUGACAUUUUUGAAGGAAGCAUCAUACGGCUAGUUAGGAGGCUAGAUGAAUUUCCGAAUCAGGUAAACCACCUGUUGGUUCCGGGCACUAGUACUAAAAUCACUUGGAUAGAGAGUGUAUGUCUUUGAUUAUCCCAUUUGACUUAAAGUGCAUGUGAAUAAAUAAAAAUUGCCUUCAAUUGAUCCAUUAGAUCAAUGUGCAUGUGAAUACAAGUGUGACAUGUCCUUCUAGCAAAAUGUCCAUAAACUGUCAACAUUUACUCUCAACUGUGACAUGACUGAAUAUGAUGAACAAGUUGGGUUGUAGCUAGAUAUGUAAGAAAUGUUAUCUAUUUCUGUUUAUCUCCAUCUAUAGAAGUUGUGAUUGGCAUCGAAUUUCUUCUUUGCCCUUUUCUGCAUGCCCAACACUUUACUUUUCUAUUACAAGUUCUGUAAAUAGUCAAGAAAAUAAGCUUGCUUUGUUUUCCUUUGUCGAACCAACUAACUUGAUUUGUUUGCCAGCUAAAAGUUGCUGCUGAAGCUGUUGGGGAGGUUAACCUUGAGAGUUUGCCAGCUAAAAGCUGUUGAAGCUUCUUGUUUCCCUUGCAUUUGUUAACUUGCACAGGGCAUGAUUGCUCUAUUAUCUAUUGUCUAGAAAAACUGAUCGCCUACCUGGGUGGCAUCUGCAUCGUGCUUGCCAGAUUAUUUGUGUGGUCAAAUGAAACGGUGAGUGGUAUUAAAAUGCUCAUGUAGACAGUGUUUAAGCAUUAGAAUGGUGUAGAUAGAGUUUCCCGGCAACUACAGUGUCUGUGAUAUUCGAGAUCCAGCGUAAAUAAGUGUUCAUCAGAAUAGAAUGUGAUUAUUUUUAUUGUUCUGGAUCUAUGACUUCGGUUGCAUAUCUUGUCAAACUCUUUUAGAGUUAUCUUGAUGAGUGUCCACGUCCCAAUAUUAUGACUAUAUCUAAUGAGUAUAAAUAUAAAUUAAUAUAGCUGUCAAUUUUAAGACAGAGCAAAGUGUCAAUACAUUUCACACCUAUUGAUUCAUCAGGCUCGGUCAGUCGGUCUGAUCCUGUAGUGUUUAAAACUGAUAAUUAUGAUGCAUUGGUCCAUAUGGCCUUGUUUUUUGAUGCAUAUAUAUAUAUAUAUGAUGUAGUUGAUAGGCCUUGUUCUCAACCUCUCAAGUUUAUGUUUCCUUGUGUGUAGGUAACUUGUUAUGUUUCCUUGUGUGUAGGUAACAUAAAAAUUACUCAGAUACUCGGGACUUGGUAGUUUUUUGGAAAAAAAAUAGCCUGGCGCUGAAUAGCUAAAGUGUGCACUGGGCAAAGAAUAGAGGGGGGGCGCUCACCAGAUGGGCUCGGCCCAGAGAGGAGGAAGCAGGUGGGCCAGGGAAGUUGGGCUGGGCCGGUCGCAUGCGGGGCCCACAAGGGCAGGGGUGGAGCUCCUCGUCCUCCUCGUGCACCCGCACGAGCAGGGAGGUUACGUCGGCGCCAGGAGGAAGUCCGGCAAGGGGAGGUGUCGGCGGUGGGGCCUGGAGGGGAUGGCGAGGUUCGAAAUGGGUUGCCGGCGGCAAGAUCCGACAGUGGGAGGCCGGAUCGGGGCACAGACGGUGCUCCGGCGAGCUAGCAAGCCGGCAAGGUCGGGAGAAAGCUCCGGCGACUGCGCCAGGACCCGAUGCCGCGCCUAGCAUCAGAUCCGAGCCUGGGGGGCUCCGGUAGGGCGGCACGGGGUCACCGGCGAUGACGAGAAAGGCGGCGGGGUCUGCAAGGUGAUGGCGGCGCAGGCGGGCACUCCGGCGAGGAGGCGGAGGCCACCGACGAUGGAGGCACGGGCACGCGGGAGACCGGCUGGGCGGCGGGCGUGGUCGGGCUCUGAUGGGCUCGCGCGGGCCGCUUGCGGGCUCGGGCAGGCCGGUGCGGUGGGAGGCGCAGAGAGACAACAUGGCGUGUUGUGGUUGGCUGCGGAGGUGGAGGCGGACAUGUCCGGCGAGGAGAAGUUGUCCGGCGGCGCGAAGAGGAAGAUGUCUAGGGUUUCAUCCGCAAAAUUUUCGGGGGUGGGGGCUUAUAUAUAGCUAGAGGGACCUAGGAGAGUCCAAAUGAGGUGCGGUUUUCAGCCACGCGAUCGUGAUCGAAUGACCGAGAGGAUGGAGGGAAUUUGGAUGGGUGUUGGGCCACUUUGGAGGGGUAUUAGGUUGCAACACACACGAGGCCUUUACGGUUCCCCUGUUAACCGUUGGAGUAUCAAACGAAGUCCAAAUGGCACGAAACUUGACAGGCGGUCUACCGGUAGUGAACCAAGGCCGCUUGGCAAAUCUCGGUCCAAUACGAGAACGUUUAACACCCGCACACCAAAAGAGGCAAAAGGAGGGCGCCGGAGGACAUAGGAGUGUCGGAUUGAGAAACGGACAACGGGGAAAAUGCUCGGAUGCAUGAGACGAACAUGUAUGCAGUUGAGAUGCACAUGAUGACAUGAUAUGAAAUGCAUGACACGCAAACAAAUGAAAAGGCAACCACAUCGAAUAACUGGAAGACACCAGGCACAUCGGUCUCGGGGCGUUACAAAGGUCCAGACUUGGGCUUCUUCACUUGAGAAGCAACUUGCUUGCUGUUCUUCUUGAAGUUCCCCUUCUUCCCUUUGCCCUUCUUGAAACUGGUGGUCUUGUUGAACAUCAACACUUGAUGCUCCUUCUUGAUUUCUCCUCCGCAACCUUUAGCAUUGCAAAGAGCUCGGGAAUUGUCUUAUCCAUCCCUGGCAUAUUAUAGUUCAUCACAAAGCUUUUGUAGCUUGGUUGCAGUGAUUCAAGAACUCUGUCAAUGAAACUAUCAACCGGAAGAUUAACUCCCAGCUAAGUCAAGUGAUUGUGGCACCCAGACAUUCUAAGUAUGUUUUCACUGACAGAACUAUUCUCCUCCAUUUUGUAGUUGUAGAACUUAUUGAAGAUUUCAUAUCUCUCAAUCCGGGCAUCUGCUUGAAAUAUUAACUUCAACUCCUGGAACAUCUCAUAUGCUCCAUGACGUUCAAAACAUCGUUGAAGUCCCGGUUCUAAGCCGUAAAGCAUGGCACACUGCACUAUCGAGUAGUCAUCAGCUUUGCUCUGCUAGGUGUUCAUAACAUCUGGAGUUGCUCCUGCAGCGGGUUUGGCACCUAGCAGUGCUUCCAGGACGUAAUUCUUCUGCGCGGCAAUGAGGAUAAUCCUCAAGUUACGGACCCAAUCCAUGUAGUUCCUACCAUCAUCUUUCAACUUAGCUUUCUCUAGGAACGCAUUAAAAUUCAACGGAACAACAUCACAUGCCUUUAUCUACAACAACAUAGACAUGCAAAAUACUAUCAGGUACUAAGUUCAUGAUAAAUUAAAGUUCAAUUAAUCAUAUUACUUAAGAACUCCCACUUAGAUAGACAUCCCUCUAAUCAUCUAAGUGAUCUCGUGAUCCAUAUCAACUAAACCAUGUCUGAUCAUCACGUGAGAUGGAGUAGUUUUCAAUGGUGAACAUCACUAUGUUGAUCAUAUCUACUAUAUGAUUCACGCUCGACCUUUCGGUCUCAGUGUUCUAAGGCCAUAUCUGCAUAUGCUAGGCUCAUCAAGUUUAACCUGAGUAUUCUUCUUGUGCAAAACUGGCUUGCACCCAUUGUAUGUGAACGUAGAGCUUAUCACACCUAAUCAUCACGUGGUGUCUCAGCACAACGAACUGUAGCAGCGGUGCAUACUCAGGUAGAACACUUAUACCUUGAAAUUUAGUGAGAGAUCAUCUUAUAAUGCUACCACCGUACUAAACUAAAUAAGACGCAUAAAGGAUAAACAUCACAUGCAAUCAAUAUAAGUGAUAUGAUAUGGCCAUCAUCAUCUUGUGCCUUUGAUCUCCAUCUCCAAAGCACCGUCAUGAUCACCAUCUUCACCAGCUUGACACCUUGAUCUCCAUCGUAGCAUCGUUGUCAUCUCGCCAGCUAUUGUGUCUACGACUAUCACUACCGCUUAGUGAUAAAGUAAAGCAAUUACAUGGUGAUUGCAUUUCAUACAAUAAAGCGACAACCAUAUGGCUCUUGCCAGUUGCCGAUAACUGUGUUACAAAACAUGAUCAUCUCAUAAAACAAUUUAUAUAAUCUCGUCUUGACCAUAUCACAUCACAACAUGCCCUGCAAAAACAAGUUAGACGUCAUCUACUUUGUUGUUGCAAGUUUUACGUGGCUGCUACAGGCUUAGCAAGAACCGUUCUUACCUACGCAUCAAAAAGCACAACACGGUAUAGUGAUCACUUUUUGAUCUUCAGAAAGAACCCUGUUCAUUGAAUCCGAUUCAACUAAAUUUGGAGAAACUGCCAGCCGCCAGCCACUUGUGUGCAAAGCACGUUGGUAGAACCAGUCUCAUGAACGCGGUCAUGUAAUGUCGGUCUGGGCCGCUUCAUCCAACAAUACCGCCGAAUCAAGAAACAACUGUGAUGGUGAUGUCUACUACACAACCUUCUUCUUGUAGACGUUGUUGGGCCUCCAACACACCCAAUAGAAUGUCAAAUUGUAUAGGUGCACUAGUUCGGUGAAGAGAUGGUGAUACAAGUGCAAUAUGGAUGGUAGAUAUAGGUUUUUGAAAUCUGAAAAUAUAAAAACAGCAAGAUAGAUAAUGAUAAAAGUGAGCAUAAACGGUAUUGCAAUGCUAGGAAACAAGGCCUAGGGUUCAUACUUUCACUAGUGCAAGUUCUCUCCAAAGUAAUAACAUAAUUGGAUCAUAUAACUAUCCCUCAACAUGCAACAAAGAGUCACUCCAAAGUCACUAAUAGCGGAACAAACGAAGAGAUUAUGGUAGGGUACGAAACCACCUCAAAUUUAUCCUUUCUGAUCGUUCUAUUCAAGAGUCCAUAGUAAAAUAACAUGAAGCUAUUCUUUCCAUUUGAUCUAUCCUAGAGUUCGUACUAGAAUAACACAUUAAGACACAAAUCAACCAAAACCCUAAUUUCACCUAGAUACUCCAAUGUCACCUCAAGUAUCCAUGGGUAUGAUUAUAUGAUAUGCAUCACAUAAUCUCAGAUUCAUCUAUUCAACCAACACAAAGAACUUCAAAGAGUGCCCCAAAGUUUCUACCAGAGAGUCAAGAAAAAAAUGUGUGCCAACCCCUAUGCAUAAGUUCACGAGGUCAUGGAACAUGCAAGUUGAUCACCAAAACAUACAUCAAGUGGAUCACGUGAUAUCCCAUUGUCACCACAGAUAAGCACAUGCAAGACAUACAUCAAGUGUUCUCAAAUCCUUAAAGACUCAAUCCGAUAAGAUAACUUCAAGGGGAAAACUCAAUCCAUUACAAGAGAGUAGAGGGGGAGAAACAUCAUAAAAUCCAACUAUAAUAGCAAAGCUCGUGAUACAUCAAGAUCGUACCGAAUCAAGAACACGAGAGAGAGAGAGAUCAAACACAUAGCUAAUGGUACAUACCCUCAGCCCCGAGGGUGAACUACUCCCUCCUCGUCAUGGAGAGCGCCGGGAUGAUGCAGAUGGCCACCGGAGAGGGAUUCCCCCCUCCAGCAGGGUGCCGGAACGGGUCUAGAUUGGUUUUUGGUGGCUACAGAGGCUUGUGGCGGUAGAAUUCCUAAUCUAGGUUUCUUUCUGGAAGUUUGGGUAUAUAUAAGAGGUGUUGGAGUCAGGAACAAGUCAGGGGGGUCCCCGAGGCGGCCACGAGGUAGGGGGUGCGCCCCCCACCCUCGUGGGCAGCCCGGGACUCUUCUGGCCCAACUCUUUUACUCCAUGGGCUUCUUAUGGUCCAAAAAUAAGAUUCAUGAAGUUUCAGGUCAAUAGGACUCCGUUUGAUUUUCCUUUUCUAUAAAACUCAAAAACAAGGAAAAACAGAAACUGGCAAUGGGCUCUAGGUUAAUAGGUUAGUCCCAGAAAUCAUAUAAAAUAGCAUAUAAAUGCAUAUAAAACAUCCAAGGUUGAUAAUAUAAUAGCAUGGAAUAAUCAAAAAUUAUAAAUACGUUGGAGACGUAUCAAGCAUGCCCAAACUUAAUUCCUGCUCGUCCUCAAGUAGGUAAAUGAUAAAAACAUAAUUUUUGAUGUGGAAUGCUACCUAGCAUAUGUGUCAAUGUAAUUUUAUUUAUUGUGGCAUGAAUGCUCAGAUCCGAAAGAUUCAAGACAAAAGUUUAAUAUUGGCAUAAAAAUAGUAAUACUUCAAGCAUACUAACAAAGCAAUCAUGUCUUCUCAAAAUAACAUGGCCAAAGAAAGCUAUCCCUAUAAAAUCAUAUAGUUUGGCUAUGCUCUAUCAUCAUCACACAAAAUAUUUAAAUCAUGCACAACCCCGAUGACAAGCCAAGCAAUUGUUUCAUACUUUUGAUGUUCUCAAACUUUUUCAAUCUUCACACAAUACAUGAGCGUGAGCCAUGGAUGUAGCACUAUAGGUGGAAUAGAAUGGUGGUUGUGGAGAAGACAAAAAGGAGAAUAUAGUCUCACAUCAACUAGGCGUAUCAACGGGCUAUGGAGAUGCCCAUCAAUAGAUAUCAAUGUGAGUAAGUAGGGAUUGCCAUGCAACGGAUGCACUAGAGCUAUAAGUGUAUGAAAGCUCAACAAAAGAAACUAAGUGGGUGUGCAUCCAACUUGCUUGCUCUUGAAUACCUAGGGCAUUUUGAGGAAGCCCGUCAUUGGAAUAUACAAGCCAAGUUCUAUAAUGAAAGAUUCCCACUAGUAUAUGAAAGUGACAACAUAGGAGACUCUCUAACAUGAAGAUCAUGGUGCUACUUCGAAGCACAAGUGUGGUAAAAGGAUAGUAGCAUUGCCCCUUCUCUCUUUUUCUCUCAUUUUGUUUUUGUUUUUGUUUUUGUUUUUUUGGGCCUUCUCUUUUUUUAUGGCCUCUUUUUCUGUUUUUUUAUUUUAUGUCCGGAGUCUCAUCCCGACUUGUGGGGGAAUCAUAAUCUCCAUCAUCCUUUCCUCACAUGGGACAAUGCUCUAAUAAUGAUGACCAUCACACUUUUAUUUACAUACAACUCAAUAAUUACAACUCGAUACUUAGAACAAAAUAUGACUCUAUGUGAAUGCCUCCGGCGGUGUACCGGGAUGUGCAUUGAAUCAAGAGUGACAUGUAUGCAAGAAUUAUGAAUGUGGCUUUGCCACAAAUACGAUGUCAACUACAUGAUCAUGCAAGGAAAUAUGACAAUGACGAAGCGUGUCAUAAUAAACGGAACGGUGGAAAGUUGCAUGGCAAUAUAUCUCAGAAUGGCUAUGGAAAUGCCAGAAUAGGUAGGUAUGGUGGCUGUUUUGAGGAAGGUAAAUGGUGGGUUUAUGGUACCGGCGAAAGUUGUGCGGUACUAGAGAGGCUAAUAAUGGUGGAAGGGUGAGAGUGCGUAUAAUCCAUGGACUCAACAUUAGUCAUAAAGAACUCACAUACUUAUUGCAAAAAUCUAUUAGUUAUCGAAACAAAGUACUACACGCAUGCUCCUAGGGGGAUAGAUUGGUUGGAAAAGACCAUCGCUCGUCCCCGACCGCCACUUAUAAGGAAGACAAUCAAAAAAUAAAUCAUGCUCCGACUUCAUCACAUAACAGUUCAUCAUACGUGCAUGCUACGGGAAUCAAAAACUUUAACACAAGUAUCUCUCAAAUUCACAACUACUCAACUAGCAUGACUCUAAUAUCACCAUCUUUAUAUCUCAAAAGAAUCAUCAAGUAUCAAACUUUUCAUAGUAUUCAAUGCACUUUAUAUGAAAGUUUUUAUUAUAGCCAUCUUGGAUGCCUAUCAUAUUAGGACUAAAUUCAUAACCAAAGCAAAUUACCAUGCUAUUUAGGAAUCUCAAAAUAAUAUCAUAGUUCAAUAAUUUCUAUAAAAUAAAACCACCGCCGUGCUCUAAAAGGAUAUAAGUGAAGCACUAGAGCAAAUGACAAACUACUUCGAAAGAUAUAAGUGAAGAUCAAUGAGUAGUUGAAUAAUUAUGUAACUAUGUGAAGACUCUCUAACAUUUAAGAAUUUCAGAUCUUGGUAUUUUCUUUAAACAGCAAGCAAAACAGAAGAAAAUAAAAUGACGCUCCAAGAAAAACACAUAUUAUGUAGUGAAUACAAAUAUAGCUCCAAGUAAAGUUACCGAUGAACGAAGACGAAAGAGGGGAUGCCAUCCGGGGCAUCCCCGAGCUUAGGCUCUUGGUUGUCCUUGAAUAUUACCUUGGGGUGCCUUGGGCAUCCCCAAUCUUAGGCUCUUGCCAAUCCUUAUUCCAUAGUCCAUCGAAUCUUUACCCAAAACUUGAAAACUUCACAACACAAAACUUAACAGAAAACUCAUAAGCUCCGUUAGUAUAAGAAAAUAAAUCACCACUUAAGUACUGUUGUGAACUCAUUCUAAAUUCAUAUUGGUGUAAUAUCUACUAUAUUCUAACUUCUCUAUGGUUUAUACCCUCCGAUAGUACUCAUAGAUUCACCAAAAUAAGCAAACAACACAAUGAAAACAGAAUCUGUCAAAAACAGAACAGUCUGUAGCAAUAUGGAGGUUUCGAAUACUUCUCUCACUCGAAAAAUUCUGAAAUAAAUUGGUGGAGCUGAGUAAUUUGUCUAUUAAUCAUCUUCAAAACGAAUCAACCUAAACUCAUUCUCCAGUAAAAAAUGGAAGCUAAUCUCGUGAGCACAAAAGUUUCUGUUUUUUACAGCACGAUCGCAAAGACGUCACCCAAGUCUUCCCAAAGGUUCUACUUGGCACAGACACUAAUUAAAACAUAAAACCACAUAUAAACAGAGUCUAGAUGAAUUAUUUAUUGCUCAGAGCAAAAAGCAAAUAACAACAAUAAAAUUGGGUUGCCUACCAACAAGCGCUAUCGUUUAACGCCCCUAGCUAGGCAUGAUGAGUUCAAUGAUGCUCACAUAAAAGAUAAGAAUUGAAACAUAAAGAGAGCAUCAUGAAGAAUUUGACUAGCAAAUUUAAGUCUAACCCACUUCCUAUGCAUAGGGAUUUUGUGAGCAAACAACUUGUGGGAACAAGAAUCAACUUGCAUAGGAAGGUAAAACAAGGAUAACUUCAAGAUUUUCAACACAUAGAGAGGAAAUUUGAUAUUAUUGCAACUCCUACAAGCAUAUAUUCCUCCCUCAUAAUAAUUUUCAGUAGCGUCAUGAAUGAAUUCAACAAUAUAACUAUAACAUAAAGCAUUCUUUUCAUGAGCCACAAGCAUAGAAUUUUUGUUACUCUCCACAUAAGCAAAAUUCUUCUCAUUCGGAAUAGUGGGAGCAUCAUAAGAAACUCAAAUACUAUAAAUUGUUUCCACAUUAAAAGAGGAAUGUUAAGAAAGAGGGUAAUCAUAAUCAUGACAAGUUUUAUAAAUAUAAUAAUCACUACUUUUUAUAGCAUAAGUGUCAUCACAAUAAUCAUCAUAAAUAGGAGGCAUGCUAUCAUCAUAAUAAAUUUGCUCAUCAAAACUUGAGAGACUAAAAUUAUCAUCUUCGUUAAACAUAGCAUCCCCAAGCUUGGGACAAACAUUAAUUGCAGCAAAUACAUUCUCAAACAUGUCAUUCUCAUCAAACAUAGCAUCCCCAAGCUUGGGCCUUUUCAUAUCAUAAGCAUAACCACUCUCAUCAUUAACAGUAUGGAUAGCACCAAUAGUAUAGCAAUUAUCAUCAUCACAAUGUGUAAUCAGAGCAACAUCAUUUGGGAAGGACGCCUUUUUACCUUUGCUUCUCCGUCUUUUAUUUUUAUUCUCCACAUAAUGUGUGGGUUUGAUCCUCUUUUUGGAGCUCCUUCUUAAUGAGAUUGGUUGAAUGGAAGGCUCCUCCUCGUUACCUGAUUCAUCAUAAGAAAUAAUAGGAGGAUAUUGGGAAGUCUCUUCGCUUUCAUUAGUAUUAUCUUCAUCUUCUAAUUGUUUUCUUGACUUUAUGUAAUUGGCAAUAUAAGGAUUUUCAAUGCAAUUCACCGCACAAUACAUAUAAAUUUCCUCUAGAUCAAAAUCAAGAACUUUAUCAAGGGCAAAUUCUGGAAUAUCCUUAGUUAUACGUUUCAUUUCUUCAUAACCCAGAAGCAAACUAAGUUCAUUAUGAUGUGCAAGGGGAAUCCAGUCAUCACAAUUUUUGGACACGAUUCGAUCAUGAAACAAUUUGCAUUGGAUAUUUAAAUGACCACGUUCAUUGCAAAGUUCACAAGGAUGGCUAAGAAAAUUUAAAUUUUCAGCACAAACAUCUAGCCUUUCUUGCAACCAUUUAGUUUCUAAAUACUUAUGCCUCUUGCAAAAUCUAUGAGGGAGUCCUGGAUUAGGGGGUCUCCGGACAGCCGGACUAUAUCCUUUAACCGAACUGUUGGACUAUGAAGAUAGAAGAUUGAAGACUCCGUCCCGUGUCCGGAUGGGACUUUCCUUGGUGUGGAAGGCAAGCUUGGCAAUACAGAUAUGUAGAUCUCCUCCCUUGUAACCGACUUUGUGUAACCCGAGGGUUUAGUCCGUAGGACAACAUACAAUCAUACCAUAGGCUAGCUUCUAGGGUUUAGCCUCUAUGAUUUCGUGGUAGAUCAAAUCUUGUAAUACUCAUAUCAUCAAGAACAAUGAAGCAGGACGUAGGGUAUUACCUCCAUCAAGAGGGCCCGAACCUGGAUAAACAUCGUGUCCCCUGCCUCUUGUUACCAUCCGCCUUAGACGCACAGUUCGGGACCCCCUACCCGAGAUCCACCGGUUUUGACACCGACAUUGGUGCUUUCAUUGAGAGUUCCACUAUGCCGCCACCAUAAGGCUCGAUGGCCCCUUUGAUCAUCAGUAAUGAUGCGGUCCAGGGUGAGGUUUUCCUCCCCGGACAGAUCUUCGUAUUCGGCGGCUUCGCACUGCGGGCCAAUUCGCUUGGCCAUCUGGAGCAGAUCGAGAGCUACGCCCCUGGCCAUCAGGUCAGGUUCAGAAACUUAAACUACACUGCCAACAUCCGCGGAGACUUGAUCUUCGACGGAUUCGAGCCCAUGUCAGGUGCGCCGCACGAUCACGACGAGCAUGAUUUAGCUCUGCCGUCGGACAGUGUUCGGGAAAUCACACCUACAACUACUCUGGCCUUCAAUCUGAAACAAACUGCGCCAUCCGAGGACGGAGGGAUAGACCCCGCCACGGAGGUCGCACUCUCAGUGGCGAUGGAGCCGGAUACUGACUUCACUCCUUACGAGAGCUGUGUCGCCGAACCACUGGAUUCGUCUCCGGCCACGGACUCCGAGCCGCCUGCAUCCGUACCUAUCGAAUCCGACUGGGCGCCAAUCAUGGAGUUCACCUCCACGGAUAUCUUUCAGCCCUCGACUUUCGACGAUUUGCUAAAUUCAUUAAGGUCUCUCUCCUUGUCAGGAGAACCUUAUCAAGAAAUUCGCUGCCCACCCACCACCCACUUAAUAGCCACUGUCGACGAUUUAACUGACAUGCUCAACUUCGACUCCGAAGACAUCGACGGUAUGGACGACGAUGCGGGAGACGAACAGGAACCACCACCCACAGGGCGCUGGACUGCCACCUCAUCAUGUGAUAUAUACAUGGUGGACACCCCCAAAGAAGGCAAUGGCGACGAGACAGCGGAGGAUGACCCCACCAAGAAGCAACCCAAGCGCCAACGUCAGCGGCGCCACUCUAAGUCCCGCCACAGCAAAAGUAGUGAUACCGGCACAAGAGACAAUAACACUCCGGAUAGUGCCAAAGACAACCACAAUCCCCUCCAGCACGAUGUAGAGCGGGAGGGUGAACAAGCUAGCCCUCCAUAGCAGGUAGCAGAUGAAAAAUCGGAGGAGGACAAUUACAUGCCUCUCUCCAAAGGCGAGGUGAGCCUCGGCAACAAAGAAUUUAUCGUGCCUGAGGAUCCCAUCGAGCAGGAGCGCUUCAAGCGCCGGCUUAUGGCCACAGCAAAUAGCCUGAAGAAAAGGCAACAACAGCUUCAAGAUGAUCAAGACUUGCUAGCAGAUAGAUGGACCAAAGUCCUUGCGGCCGAGGAAUACGAACUCGAGCGCCCCUCCAAGAAUUACCCAAAGCGUAGGUUGCUACCUCACCUCGAGGAGGAAGCAUGGAAACCUCCAUCACCAGUGUAUGAUGCGGCUGACCUGCCAUCGCGUGGCCGAGCCAGAGAGGCAUUUCAGCCUGAAGUUCAUCCUGCACCCCGCCGCCACUCAAUCAAAAAUACCAAGGCCCGGGGCAACACACGGGACCUGCGAGACAUAUUGGACAGCAGGGCAAAACAUGCAAGGUCAAUAUACAGGUCACGGGGGCGCGCGCCAAUGCGGGACGAUGACCGUCGCGCCGGAUACACUAAAGGUAAAUCCGUCCGGGCCGAAUACAGUAGACAAGACUCAUAUGAACUGCGUCGGGAUAUAGCCCGACACAGAGGUGCCGCACCCCCCCUAUGCUUCACUGAUGAAGUUAUGGAUCACGAAUUCCCGGAGGGUUUUAAACCCGUAAAUAUCGAAUCGUAUGAUGGUAAACAGAUCCCGCUGUGUGGAUUGAGGAUUUCCUCCUUCACAUCCACAUGGCUUGCGGUGAUGAUCUACAUGCCGUCAAGUACCUCCCACUAAAACUCAAAGUACCAUCUCGGCAUUGGCUGAAUAGCUUGCCAGCAGACUCCGUCGGCAUUUGGGAGGAUUUGGAAGACGCAUUCCUUGACAACUUCCAGGGCACUUAUGUGCAACCAACGGAUGCUGAUGACUUGAGCCAUAUAACUCAGCAGCCAGGGGAAUCGGCUAGACAAUUCUGGACACGAUUCCUAACUAAGAAAAACCAAAUUGUCGACUAUCCGGAUGCAGAGGCAUUAGCCGCAUUCAAGCAUAACAUCUGUGACGAGUGGCUUUCCCGGCACCUCGGCCAGGAGAAGCCGAAGUCUAUGGCAGCCCUCAUGACGCUCAUGACCCGCUUUUGCGCAUGCGAGGAUAGCUGGCUGGCUCGCAGCAACAACACAUCAAGGAAUCCGGGUACUCCAGAUACCAAAGAUGCCAACGGCAGACCACGUCGUAACAGACAAAAGCGCCGCAACAACGGCGAUAACACCGAUGAUACGGCAGUCAAUACCGGAUUCAGAGGCUCUAGAUCCGGUCAGCGUAAAAAGCCAUUCAAAAGAAGUACUCCGGGCCCGUCCAGUUUGGAUCGCAUACUGGAUCGCUCGUGUCAAAUCCACGGCACCCCCGAUAAGCCAGCCAAUCAAACCAAUAGAGAAUGCUGGGUGUUCAAGCAGGCCGGCAAGUUAAACGCCGAAAACAAGGACAAGGGGCUGCAUAGUGAUGACGAGGAGGAACCGCGGCCGCCGAACACGAGAGGACAUAAGAGGUUCCCCCACAAGUGAAGACGGUGAACAUGAUAUAUGCAACCCACAUUCCCAAGAGGGAACGGAAGCAUGCACUAAGGGACGUCUAUGCGAUGCAGCACGUCGCCCCAAAGUUCAACCCAUGGUCCGCUUGUCCGAUCACCUUUGAUCGCAGGGACCACCCCACCAGUAUCCGUCAUGGCGGAUCUGCCGCACUGGUCCUAGACCCCAUCAUCGACGGAUUCCACCUCACUCGAGUCCUUAUGGAUGGCGGCAGCAGCGUGAACCUUCUCUAUCAGGAUACAGUGCGCAAAAUGGGUAUAGAUCCCUCAAGGAUCAAACCCACCAAAACCACCUUUAAGGGUGUCAUCCAGGUGUACAGGCCCAUUGCACGGGCUCAAUCACAUUGGAAGUGGUCUUCGGGUCUCCGGACAACUUCCGAAGCGAGGAGUUAAUUUUUGAUAUCAUCCCGUUCCGCAGCGGCUAUCACGCACUGCUUGGGCGAACCGCAUUUGCAAAGUUCAAUGUGGUACCGCAUUACGCAUACCUCAAGCUCAAGAUGCCAGGACCUAGGGAGGUCAUAAUAGUCAAUGGAAACACAGAAUGCUCACUCCGCACAGAAGAGCACACUGCGUCCCUCGCAGCAGAAGCACAAAGCAGCCUUUUAAGGCAAACCAUCAAUUCGGCGAUACAGCCCCCAGGCACCGUCAAGCGAGUCCAAAGUAAACUGCAACAGGAUCGCCUGGCACGUUCAGAGCUCGCCUAGCAAUUCAGCCCCCGUCCCAGUCCCAGCCAAGCGACGAAAUCCGUGCCACGCGUACAUAAUUACGCACUAAAAAUACCAUGGGCAUAGGUGGGGGCACGAUCAGGGCACGUCCCGUAAUGCGGCUUAACCGCCCUAGGGGAUGUAUACCUUUAUCAUUUUUUUCUCUUUCAGGACCUAACUCCCUGGAAGCCCUUUCCGGCAGUACGAUUGCCGGACACAUUACGGGAAGGAACAUCCAAGGAGGCAAGAAGCUAAGACGUACACGGGAACCCACAGGUGGUCUCUAAUAAGAAUUGAUAUACCCGCUUUCUACUAUUCGUACGCAGCUUGCCCUUGGAUAGGACAUGUCAAAUAGUCCUAUUUUCUGCUUAUUGCACUACUUGUAUCAGUGCGCUUCGAUGUAUUAUUUAAAAUAACAAUCCAUAGCAUUAGUCUAUUAUUUCAUUAUUCAUCCUUUUUUAUUAUAUGUUCAUUUAUGACAACUUGCACCCGUACAUUCUGCUACGGUCAGUACGCCAGGGGCUUUCGUUUACCCCAUAAUACGGUGUGAGAAGUCCGAACACUUUCGACAGUGCGGCACCCCAAACUUAUAGCAUUAUAUGCAUCAGCUCCGAAUCAUGUCUUGUGUCAAUAGUUGGGUUUGCCUGGCUCCCAUGCUUUGGUACCUUACGUUCUGCUAUAUCGGCUAAGGUAGCGCUGGGAGAACUACUGUGAUUGUGUACCGGUUCUUCCAGACGAGCACCUCAGUAGAGAAAGCCGCAAAAUGACUGUCAUGAUAGGGCGAGAGCUGGUCGCUGUUCGAGAGGUCUCAAGUCCUUAAAGACUUUUUCCGCUUCGAGCGAGGAGUCGGCCUUGCCCGACUUAGGCGUGUAUAGCGCAACAAAUUCGGCCUUCCGAAUACUAGGGGCUUCGCCAAAAUUUAAAAUUGUAGACUUAUAUGGCUAAGUGAGAGUGAUAAAGCCUUAUAGUCCAAUUGCCUUGUUCGUUGUGCUGAACACCUCCCUCAAAGGACCCAAAAUUGGGAUAAAGAGUGGUCAGGUUUAUCCAGAACAUCCCAGUACUAAUUACAUGGGGGCAGAAGCCGACGACUGGCCAACUCUCAGAUUUUAUAAACGGCCGCACAGAAGGUAAUAUUUUAAAUUAAAAAAGCGUUGCAUAGCGCAAAUGAACUUGUUUCACAUUACAGGAUCACAUGAGCAUGUUCAUUCAAAAAUUACAUCUCUGGGCACAUUCAUCCGCCACAAGGUGGGAACCCUUCAGGACACUCUCAUAAUACAUUUCAGGGCAGUGAUGCUCCUUGCCCUCCGGCGGCCCCUCCUUCACCAGCUUCACGGCGUCCAGCUUCGCCCAGUGCACCUUCGCCCGGGCAAAAGCCCGGCGCGCACCCUCGAUGCAGACGGACCGCUUUAUGACUUCAAGCCGUGGGCAGGCAUCCACAAGCCGCCUCACCAGACCAAAGUAGCUGCCGGGCAGGGGCUCGCCAGGCCAUAUCCGGACUAUAAGACCCUUCAUGGCCUGUCCGGCCGCCUUGUGAAGCUCGACCAGUUGCUUCAGCUGGUCGCUCAAGGGCAUUGGGUGUUCGGUCCCAGUAUACUGAGACCAGAACAACUUUUCCGUAGAGCUCCCCUCCUCAGCUCGGUAAAAUUCUGCGGCAUCCAGCACACUGCGGGGAAGAUCCGUGAACGCUCCUGGAGAGCUUCAAACUCGGGUAAGUAAAAGGAAAGUUUCCUUCACAUGCUUGCUUUGCAUAAUGAAUGCCUUACCCACUGCUAUCUUCUUCACCGCAUCCAUCUCCUGGAGGGCCUUGUGGGCUUUAGCCUUGGCGCUCCGUGUGCUUUCGAGUGCCCUCGCAAGCUCAGACUCUCGCGUCUUAGAGUCAAUCUCCAAGGACUCAUGUUUUUUGGCGAGAGCCUCGAGCUCUUGCUACAUCUCGCCUACCCGGGCUUCUUGCUUUUCCUGCUCAAGGCGCUCCGUGGCCACUUUGUCUUCGGCUUCGGACAGUGCCUUCUUCAGGGUCGCCACCUCAGUCGUGGCACCUGGAAAAUUCAUGAUGAUCCUAUUACUUCACACCCGAACUUCUUUUUAAAUAUAUAGACAAGGUAUUGCUUACCUUUGCUCUCCUCGAGCUGCCUCUUGGUAAGGCCGAGCUCGUUCUCGGACCGCUCUAGGUCCUGCUUCAGUGCAGAGACCUCCGCAGUACGUGCGGCAACGGCCAGCAGUGAAGCCUGCUCAUACACAUAGACAUGUUCUUAUUAGACUCUUGGGUCAUCAUUUGAUCCUCUAUUCGGCCUUUCUUUGCGAACGCCGAACAGAGCAUCAGGGGCUACUUUCUAUGUGGUGAUGUUUUCUUAUAUUUUGAUUGCUUACCUCAAAGCUUGUUAGGAGGCUGGCGCAAGCUCCCACUACAAGAAAUAUGUCAAUUAGUGACCUUCUGUCAGUGACUCUGGAAGAAUUGGUCAUAGAUCUAUGACCAUUUGAGACCAAUUGGUCAAAAGCUGUUUGGGGGGCUCCAAACCCUAAACCAUUACGACCAUUUUGGUCAGAAAGGUCGUAAUUUCCUUACCCAAAAUGGUCAUAAAGCAAACAACGCUAGUCUGAUGCCUUAUAUCUAGUUGUUAACGACCAAUAUAGAUGGUCAUAGCCUUGUAAAUUAUGGUGGGUUGCGAUGACUAGGCGUCAUCUCAUCAGUUUUGCCUAUGUGUCAUGUCCAUGUGUCAAUUUUUGCCCUAGGUUGUGAAGCAACCUAUAUUUCUGUUAUUCCAAAAAUUCCCAAACAAUUCUCAUAAAUUGUUUGGAUCGUAUCUUCAUCAAAAAUGUCAAAAAACUUCCUUGCCUAGUUCAAAAAUAAUUAAACAAUAUUCAUUUUCCUAUUCUGUUCAAAGCAGCACUUUGUGAAGGAAGUACCACUUUGGCAUGUCCAAAUAGUAUCCAUUUUCUACAUGCUUUCCUAUGCCCAAAUAACCAUCCUACACCAAAUGCCAGCUCAAUUCAUUAAUUAUUUUGAGCCCAGCUUCAACAUUCGUAUUUAUGUCCAGUGUGGUACUUUGCAAAGCAAGUACCACCUAGGCUCCUCCUUCUGAGCUGAAAAUUUGUGAACAAAUUCUUCUUAGUAACCGAUCAUCCUCAGCCAAAACUCACGCCCAUUAGCCAUGUACAUUUCCCGUACCGCCAAUCAAACACUUGGCUGCUAAUUCAUGUUUAAGCAUCGACCGGUCUCCUCGUGAGAAUCUUAUGUUGUAAUUUUAUUCCUACCACCUACCCGGGGAGUGCCCAACCCACUAGACAGGGCUAGGCCUCCCAGAACGCAUGUUAACGCCAAGGUCACGCGGUGACCACGCACCAGGCAUGCGAGUUUACGCACUCUAGAGUUGGGGCCCUCGGCCAUCGCCCAGAACCUCGACGUAUCGCCACCAAACCAUGUAUUUAUGAUUAAAUAGGUACUUAUGUAACUAGAAAUGAUUUUUUGGAAAAAAUAAAUAGCAAACUAUGAGGCAGCUGCAGUUCAAAUUUGACCCGCUUCCACCUGAAUCGGCAAAAAUUUGUCUCUUUCAUGAGAGGUGGAUCAAAACUUUUUACACCCAACCAUUUUGUCAAUUGUGAAUUAAAUAUGGCCUAGUAUUUUAGAAAAUUGAUUUGGUCCAAUUUUGCAACAAUUAUUUGGGAGGUCCUUCAGAAAAAAUCUCCUUUUGGGCACUCGAAAAAUGGAAAAUGGUUUUUUCGUCCAAAGAAAAUGAAAACUUCCUUAGGCAACAUUGUUUGCCAUUCCAAUAUGCACCCUUGUGCACAAUAUGAGAUCAUUUGAACAAACUAUGCCAUGAAUGUGGCCAUAAGAUUGAUCAUUUGUCUUGAAAGCCAUUGAUCUCCAUACGUGAUAGUUCGUUUCUGAGAACACUUUUUUAAAAUAAUUGCCGUAUUACAAGUUUGUUAUUUUUCCUGAAAACUUGGUCACAUAUAAUGACACAAUGUGAAGGUUUUCCAAUUUUUUGAUUUUUUUUCGAAUUUUUUAUGCCCGUUUGAAAAUGCGGUCAAAACGGCGGGCUUGACCGUUCCUAGCUAGUGGUUGAAUCUUAGAAUUUUUUGGUGUUUCUAUGAUUAAAUUGAUACUUAUGUACCUAGAAAUGAUUUUUGGAAAAAAAAUAGCAAACUAUGAGGCAACUGCAGUUCAAAUUUGACUCGCUUCCAUCUGAAUCGGCGGAAAUUUGUCUUUCUCACCAGAGGUGGGUCAAAACUUUUUACACCCAACCAUUUUGUCAAUUGUGCAUUCAAAAAUGAAAAAUGAAUUUUUAAUCAACCAUGACCAAUUUUUUAGUCAACUGCGACCAAUUUAAAUGGUCAUGAUAUCGUACUGGUGUGCUGCAUUUUGAUUGGUCUGUGGGCGUUUCACACGGAUCGUGGAUCGAACACCGUCGGAUGCUCGCGGAUCCAACGGCAGUCCUCACCCCAAGCCCACCUAAGCCAAAACCCUAGUCCUCGUGGACAUUUUCCAUCCACCCCCAUCCUUUAUUUCUCCUUCCCUCCCGCGACCUCCUCUCCCCCGAUCCUUCGGUCGGCCGGCGCGACCUCCGCUCCACAUCCUCCGGCCCCGCUAACGACCUCCUACCCCAACGCCGGCGCGCGGCAGAUCCAACCCAGCAGCCGCCCCUUCUCCCCUGUCUCCUCCUCCCAUCAGACCCAUCGCCGCCGCGACCUCCUCAUCUCCUCCUCCCUUCAGAUCCAUCCACCCGAUGCCGCCCCUUCUCCCCCGUCUCCUCCUCCCAUCAGAUCCAUCGCCGCCGCCACCUCCUCUUCCCUUCAGAUCCAUCCACCCGCUGCCACCCCUUAACCCCUUCUAACCCCUUCUCCAGUGGAACCGCAUCUCCCCGAGCACCGCUGCCGCUGUUGAUCACCCGCUGCCGGAGGGGUCCGCGAUGCAUCCUGAGCCAAUCACGCUCUACGGCGGAGAGGCGAUGGAUUCAGCAGGCGCCUCGAAGCCCGAUGAGGAGGUGGCUGCCUACCAGAGCAGCGAGGCCAAGCAGGCGAGGCUGCAGUCCAUGGUCGCGGCGCUCCUCGACGACCCCAUUCUAGCCGACCUCCUGAGGAAGCCCCCGCUGGCGGACGUGGACACGCUCAUCAACCUCGAGCUCGGCACCACCAUGAGGGUGACCGUCGUCAAUCUGGACAACACCUCGUUUGGUAUAAUAUGGCCCUCUUCGAACCCCGCGCACAUUUUUGUCCAAAUCACUUACCGUGAGUUUAUCCCACAUCUCAAUUCGUGUUCCUCUUGUCGUUGGGGUGACUGAUACAGAUGUCGCGGUGUUGAACACUGCUACGCUCAAGGAUUUGAAGCUGGCUAUCAGGAAAUGAUAGUCAGAUUUAUUUGUCUGAAACUGUGGAAGGAUGAAUUCUGACAUCCAUGUCAUCUAAUUCAUUCAUGCUGACAUGUGUUGAUCUAAUUAGUUAACAUCCUUCGAAAUGCUGCCGAUUUGUCUUUGCUAUUUAAUAUAUCCUAUGAUGGGCACUAAGGCACUAUUGAUCCACCAAAAUUUUCUUAGUUUAGAUGGGUGUGAUUAUCUAAAUAAGCUGAGGGUCACGAGAUGUAUGGUAUUAACCUGAAUUCUUAGUAGGCUCGAGAUGUUGAGAAUCCUAGCUGAAGUCGUGUUUUAGUUUGACUUUGCACUGUUUAUUGAAUAGUUGAAUCUGUGUACAUAAGGUUAUUCAAGCCUGCUUGAAUUAGA